rnacentral:rRNA from 1 species
UACAGAGGGUGCGAGCGUUAAUCGGAAUUACUGGGCGUAAAGCGUGCGUAGACGGUAGCGUAAGUCAGAUGUGAAAGCCCCGGGCUCAACCUGGGAAUUGCAUUUGAGACUGCUCUGCUCGGGUGCGGAAGAGGGAAGCGGAAUUUCCGGUGUAGCGGUGAAAUGCGUAGAUAUCGGAAGGAACACCGGUGGCGAAGGCGGUUCUCUGGGCCGUGUACUGACGCUGAGGAGCGAAAGCGUGGGGAGCGAACAGG